AUGGCGUGGUCGAUACUGAAAUCGAUGGUUUACUGCAAGCAUCUGAGCAGUCGAUUACUUGAUUUGUUAGAUCGACCCAAAAGCCCCAGCAUGGACUCGAAGCUGAUGGCAUAUCUGGUCUUGCGUGCACAGUGGGGAUCGGUGCUGCCGCACCAGGAAGGUCACCUUGUCCUAAUCGCACUAGUGCACUGGAGAAGGCAAUUCAUGGUUUUGCGGAAAAUCCAGGAGAUGAUGUGA
rnacentral:rRNA from 1 species